UACGGAGGGUGCAAGCAUUAAUCGGAUUUAUUGGGCGUAAAGGGCGCGUAGGCUGGAGUAUAAGUCAGAUGUGAAAUCCCGGGGCUCAACCCCGGAACAGCAUUUGAAACUAUACACCUAGAGGGUAGGCGGAGAAAACGGAAUUCCACGUGUAGCGGUGAAAUGCGUAGAUAUGUGGAAGAACACCGGUGGCGAAGGCGGUUUUCUAGCUUAUUCCUGACGCUGAAGCGCGAAAGCAAGGGGAGCAAACAGG
rnacentral:rRNA from 1 species